rnacentral:ncRNA from 2 species
UUCUUAUCGUGAGAGGUGGAGGGACUGGCCCUAUGAAACCCAGCAACCAACAUAAAUUCCAUUUAAUUUAUGCAUGGUGCUAAUUCCUGCAGCUAUUUUUUAGCUGAUAGAUGAGAG